rnacentral:rRNA from 1 species
AUGGCGGUCGCCGCUCAGCCGCUGCUGGCCUCCGCGCUCCUCGCGCUCCUCCUCGCCGCCGUCUCCGCUGCUGAUACUAAGAAUAACCCUGCCGAUGAGCUUGUGAGCUUGAUCAACUCCAACCGUACCGCCAGCAAGGCAUCAAAUCUUGUUGAUAAUCAAGGUCUUGGAUGCAUUGCUCUGCAGUACAUAAAAGCAUAUGAGGGUCAGUGCGACCAGGUGGGUGGAAACAAGAAGCCUGUGGAUUCCAGUUUCAUUGACACAUUUGCCCCAAAUUGUGGUGUCCAAGCUGCAAGCCUUGCCAAGAUCACUGGGAGGCUCCUGGCGUGCCAGCCCAGCUACCCACCUCCGGCGCAGGCCUUCGACAUGCUCAUUGCUAAUGAGAGGAGCCUCCAGGUAUUGCAUAGCAAGAACCACACAGAGGUGGGGGCGGCUGUCACCGGCACUUCUGGCGGCGGUCCGUAUUUCUGGUGUGUCUUGUUCAGCAAUGGGAAGCCCAACUCGAGCUUCACGGUAGAAGGGGGUGUUCCCAAGACUGCCCAUCCUGGAUGCUUCAGCGGCAACAAUGACGAGUGCAGUGGUGCCAUUUCGACUGGUGUGAGUGCAUGGACACUAGUGUCGGCCACUCUUUUUGCUCUGGCUGGCGCCUUUACUUUGUGA